GCGGGUAUGGCGGAACUGGUAGACGCACCAGAUUUAGGUUCUGGCGAGAGAUCGUGGGGGUUCGAGUCCCUCUACCCGCACCA
rnacentral:tRNA from 56 species